AAGAACAACUCAGCAUCUCCAACAGAAUUUGCUCAAUUCUGAACAGCAAGAAAACUUCACCAAAUCCACUUUGGAGGAUAUUUACAUCUUGUCGCAGUAUUUAUUUACUGAACUUGAACUUAUUUCUACUUCAACUUUUAUGUUAGGAUUGAUUUUUGUGGAUUCGAGCAUUAAAAUUGGGGUGGUGGUUAAUUCAGAUGGUUGAACUAAUUGUACUUUAUUAAAUUGAAUUAUUAAUUAGAUUAAUUUAUGAAAGAUUUGAUCCAAAUCCGAAAAUUAACCUUAAAUAUUUGUUUUAGGUUAUGUAUAGCAAUUCUGAUCCUCUUAAUGUGAUGAUAUGAGAUAAAUAACGAGGUUGAGAUUAAAUAAAGUUGCUUAUAAAGGCUAGAAUCGCCUAAUUGUAUCAAAAUCAUAAUUUAAAUAGAAAUCAAAGAAACUUUUAGAAAAGAAAAUCAUCACGAGCAACAUUUUUAAAUCUACCAAAAAAUGAUAAAAUCUAAACUCAUGGGCAUUGGAGUGGUGGUUAAUUCAAAUGGUUGAAAUAAUUCAGGUUAUGUAUAGCAAUUCUGAUCCUUUUAAUGUCUUGAUACGAGAUAAAUAACAAAGUUGAGAUUAAAUAAAGUUACUUAUAAAGGCUAGAAUCGCCUAAUUGUAUCAAAAUCAUAAUAUGAAUACAAAUUAAAGAAAGUUUUAAACAAGAAAAUCAUCACGAGCAACAUUUUUAAAUCUACAAAAAAUGAUAAAAUCUAAACUCAUGGGCAUUGGAGUGGUGGUUAAUUCAAAUGGUUAAAAUAAUUCAGGUUAUGUAUAGCAAAUCUGAACCUCUUAAUGUCUUGAUAUGAGAUAAAUAAUGAGGUUGAGAUUAAAUAAAGUUACUUAUAAAGAUUAGAAUCGCCUAAUUGUAUCAAAAUCAUAAUUUGAAUAGAAAUCAAAGAAAGUUUUAGGAAAGAAAAUCAUCACGAGCAACAUUUUUAAAUCUACAAAAAAUGAUAAAAUCUAAAGUCAUCAGCAUUGAAGUGGUGGUUAAUUCAGGUUAUGUAUAGCAUUUCUGAUCCUUUUAAUGCCUUGAUAUGCGAUAAAUAAUGAGGUUGAGAUUAAAUAAAGGCUAGAAUCGCCUAAUUUUUAACACAAUCAACAUUUUUAAAUCUACAAAAAAUGAUAAAAUCUAAAGGAUAUGGAAAUCUUCGUUAAAGUUAUAUCUAAAUCAAGUCUUUUAAGAUAGAAUUAAUAAAGUUAUUAGUUAUUAUUAGUUGUUGUAAAGCUGUGUAUUCCAAUCCCAAAGAGUUGAAACGGAAAUAUCAAUAUAUUUAUUAUCUUUAUUUUAUUAUCAUUUUAAUACUAUGAUUUUAGGCAACACUCCUUACGCAUUACAAGGCUAAACAUGGCAAGAAAUUGCACAAUUUUCCAAGAACCACAUUUAAGCGACAAUAAUAAAUUUUUUGCAUUAGCACUAAUAGAAAAUCUCUACAUAAUUCUCUGUAUAUACUUUGUUUUAGAGAAAUUAAAGGUUUAUUAAUAUUUUUUUUAGAAAUAUCCCGUUUCUACAAAGUUUUAAUAAACCACCUCGACAUGAUUACUCUAAAAAAAUUGCUUCAUAGUCUUCAUUAGAAAGUCAUGUACAUACAUACAUAUAACGUUACAGACCGCAGAUUCUGUACUCAGCCUUGAACCAAAAAAUUUCUUAAUCAAGCUACUAAAUAAAAAUAAAGUAAAAAGUUAUUAUUAUUUCAUUUUGUUCUAAGAACAAAAAAAACCUUGUGUUCAUAUUUACAAGGAGGUCAUUCACUUACACAAGAAGUGACAAGAAGCUUUAGGAAAUUUUAAAACCACCACGUUUAAUAAGAUUAUUUUUACAAAUAAUUCCUUUUCACUGGAAACUUUUGGAAUUUCACUUUUUAUUGCUAAUCAGAACUUAAAAUUGUUGGAAAUCGAGGCAAUAAAUCGUUUGAGAAUGUG
rnacentral:lncRNA from 1 species